rnacentral:rRNA from 1 species
GACGAAGGAUGCAAGCGUUAUCCGGAUUCAUUGGGUUUAAAGGGAGCGUAGGUGGUCUGGUAAGUCAGUGGUGAAAUCUCCGAGCUUAACUCGGAAAUUGCCAUUGAUACUGUCGGUCUUGAGUAUAGUUGCCGUUGGCGGAAUAUGACAUGUAGUGGUGAAAUACAUAGAGAUGUCAUAGAACACCGAUUGCGAAGGCAGCUGACGAAACUAUAACUGACACUGAGGCUCGAAAGUGUGGGGAUCAAACAGG